GAGAAAUCGGUCCAUUUACUUUUACAUUUAUGCAUUUAAUUUACUUUAGCAUUAUGCAUAUAGAAAUAGAUUUAUUUUUACGUCGGUCCCGGGACAUGCAUGCAUUAAAUUUUUUGUUUCUAUAUUUUAUACUAACUUAUUUUCAAGUGUUUUUAAUUUGUAGGUAAAGCUUACGUGGAGACGAGGCGAUCCGCAAAGAUCCUUCGAUCUCGAUUUCAAAUCCAAGGUAAGUGAUUUUAAUAUUAUUUUUUUGUUUCCUAUACAUAUAUACUAAUAUCUAUUUUAAAUCUUUUAGAUGCAUCCGAGAGGGAGUGGCCGGAUGAUCGGACGACCGAAGGCAUCAUAGGGAGUAAUCCGUCCCUUUCCUUUUACAUUUAUGCAUUUAAUUUAAUUUAGCAUUAUGCAUAUAGAAAUAGAUUUAUUUUUUCGUCGGUCCCGGGACAUGCAUGCAUUAAUUUUUUUGUUUCUAUAUUUUAUACUAACUUAUUUUCAAGUGUUUUUAAUUUGUAGGUAAAGCUUAUGUGGAGACGAGGGGAUCCGCAAAGAUCCUUCGAUCUCGAUUUCGAAUCCAAGGUAAGUGAUUUUAAUAUUAUUUUUUUUUCCUAUACAUAUAUACUAAUAUCUAUUUUAAAUCUUUUUAGAUGCAUACGAGAGGGAGUGGCCGGAUGAUCGGACGACCGAAUACAUCAUAGGGAGAAAUCGGUCCAUUUACUUUUACAUUUAUGCAUUUAAUUUACUUUAGCAUUAUGCAU